GAAAGAAUGUGCACAUGCUUCUAACUGUAAGCAAAGGUAAAUUCUUAUUAGGAAGGAGUGUUGAACACACCAGCAUAUUAAGAAUGAAAAAAAUAAAAUCAAAUUCAAAAUAGACAAUGAAAAAGUCAAUGGCAUAAACUUAUUGUAUUUAGUAUGAAUAAUACGAACCAAUCAUAAGUGUCGAACAUGUUACAUAUUUCCGCAAGGAUGAAAAUCAAUAAAACAAAGUAAUUUGAACUCACUGCUGUGCAUCGUAGACUUGGUGA
rnacentral:misc_RNA from 1 species